CACAGGGGGCCCAUCAGUGUCACCACAUUAGCUUGGGAGGCAAUGGUAAUGGUGGUCACUACCAAUGCUGCACAGAAGAGGUUGGCCAUCUAGUGCAGAAAGAGGAUGAAUGAAUACAUCCGUGCUGCCAGGACUCAGAAUGCCUUCAUGAGAACUACCGAACCACACACAACCUCUUACAACAUGGUGGCGUCUAUCAGAACAAUGCAGCGCCUCACAGAAGCUGAAGAAGAAAUUUAAAAGCUGGAAGAUUGAAAAAGCAACAUUCUGACCCGAUGAAAAGCACCAGAAGUGAAGGUGCAGAAGGAUCACCAGAGAAAAGCUCCAAAGCAGGAUUGGAAGCAGAAGGCAGAAAUAAAACUCCUCACUGCAGCAGUAGACUCCAUUGAAUCCCUUGGAAGUCCAGCUUCAAUAUCCAUAGAGUGCAGAGUCAGAAGAUCCAGCAGGGGUGAGCUAAAACACUUAAGUUUUUUCACCAGAAUGAGUUUUUAAAAGCUCUUAAGUCAGCAGCAGUCAGAAUUGCCAUUUUAAAAUGCACCAUGAACAGCCCAAGUCCCAUCUAGCGCCUGAACACGUGGAGGCCAGCUCGCUCCGAUUGAAAAAAAAGAUUGAAAAUAUGAUUGGCUGUUAAAAAACCAUAAAAGUCAGGAAUUGACAAUUUCAUGAUCUGAAAAUACUUAAGAUACUUUGGAGAAAACUCAAAAAGGUCGAUCCAGGAAUCACUGCUGAAAAUUUAAAAUGCAGAAAUUACCAAUACUGCGGGACCCCAUAAAAACUGACAAGCAUGGGAAACCAUGUUGUGAAUUUGCAUACAACAUCACCAUCUUGGAUUUCCUUGCAGCAUUUAAAGCUAUUCAUGCUUCUAAUUUUAAAUGACUAUGGAUCAAAAAUCUAUCUUACUUGACCAGUCUGGAUUCUCCUAAGCUCCAGACCAGUCACAAAAUUGGAAACUUUUGAAAAUGAGAUUCCUUAGAUACAAGAUUGCUUCAGAUCAAGAUAAGAAGACAGAAGCUGAACAGGUUAACACACUGCUUUAUUCGGAAUACACAAGAAAAAGUAUUUUAAAAAGACCAACCGCAACCCUAGUUCUGUAUGCUAGUCUGGUGUUCUGUUCUGGUGUGUGUGUGUUAUGAAGGUCACCGCUGAAGAACACCAUCUGGGCAUCCCUUCACUUGCAGGUUAAAAAGUCCACUCCCUCUAAUUGCUGGAAGCAAGUCACAAGUCAGCAAAGCCACAGUCGAAAAGGAAACAGGGCGACUCCUUUCAGCUAACCUGCAGAACCAAGAAUUUCCAAACCAACUGCUCAACUACCAAAGUUAGCAUUAUUGGAACCACCCCAACUUAACAGCCGCAACGUUUCACCAUCUACUUCUCAUGGACAAGCCAAAGGACUGAUUCAUAUCUAUUUUUAACUUUUAUUUUUGGACUCAAUUUCUCAUGUCUAAUCUGUGUAUAUGUUUGUUGUGUUUUUAUCAUUUUUCCUUGUGUUUGGUAACUAAUAAACUCAUUUUUUCUUUGA